UCGGGAAUAUUGCGCAAUGGAGGAAACUCUGACGCAGUGACGCCGCGUGCAGGAAGAAGGUUUUCGGAUUGUAAACUGCUUUAGACAGGGAAGAAAAAAGACAGUACCUGUAGAAUAAGCUCCGGCUAACUACGUGCCAGCAGCCGCGGUAAUACGUAGGGAGCAAGCGUUAUCCGGAUUUAUUGGGUGUAAAGGGUGCGUAGACGGGAAAUCAAGUUGGUUGUGAAAGCCCUCGGCUUAACUGAGGAACUGCAACCAAAACUAAUAUUCUUGAGUGCUGGAGAGGAAAGUGGAAUUCCUAGUGUAGCGGUGAAAUGCGUAGAUAUUAGGAGGAACACCAGUGGCGAAGGCGACUUUCUGGACAGUAACUGACGUUGAGGCACGAAAGUGUGGGGAGCAAACA
rnacentral:rRNA from 1 species